rnacentral:lncRNA from 1 species
GAGCCAGUGUGGAAGCGAGCAGCCUGUACAGGACUCUUGCUGUCACUCUGCCUCACGAACAGACGUUGACAUUGUGGCCUUCACGGACGGCUCCUGCUGUCAGCAGCCUCACCGAGGCAGCACCACUCGGUAGAUGCUGCUGUCCUACCAGGACCCUAGUACCAAAGUCACAGACUGCAUUGCAGAGCGUCACACACGCACUACUCUGGGCUACCAGCUUCGGGAAGCCAUUUGAGGCUGUUGGUUUUGAUGAGUGUUAACGUGUCAGUGCAUCUUUUGCAUAGUGCGGUUCAGACUGGAAUUAGAGCACACACCUACCUGCCUCAGGUCAGCACCAGUUCUUUGGGCUGGCUGGCUGGUUUUGAAGGACAAGCAGACAAAAGCAGCACCCUGUGCUGUGCUGAGGGGUCAGGGUUUGGGGACCACUUUCCUAUAGAUUUUUUAAAUUUCCCUCUUCCCCUCCUGUUGAGAUCAACAGCUUUCUUAUCUAAAUAAAUCUUGAAGAUCAAAAAAAAUAAAAAAAUAAA